rnacentral:tRNA from 1 species
AGAGAAGUGUCCGAGUGGUUUAAGGAGCACGCUUGGAAAGCGUGUGUGCUGCAAGGCACCGGGGGUUCGAAUCCCUUCUUCUCUG